rnacentral:rRNA from 1 species
UCCAGACUCCUACGGGAGGCAGCAGUGGGGAAUAUUGCGCAAUGGGGGAAACCCUGACGCAGCAACGCCGCGUGAGUGAAGAAGUAUCUCGGUAUGUAAAGCUCUAUCAGCGGGGAAGAAGGAAGACGGUACCCGACUAAGAAGCCCCGGCUAACUACGUGCCAGCAGCCGCGGUAAUACGUAGGGGGCGAGCGUUAUCCGGAUUUACUGGGUGUAAAGGGGGCGCAGACGGCGAUGCAAGCCAGGAGUGAAAGCCCGGGGCCCAACCCCGGGACUGCUCUUGGAACUGCGUGGCUGGAGUGCAGGAGGGGCAGGCGGAAUUCCUGGUGUAGCGGUGAAAUGCGUAGAUAUUAGGAGGAACACCAGUGGCGAAGGCGGCCUGCUGGACGAUGACUGACGUUGAGGCUCGAAAGCGUGGGGAGCAAACAGGAUUAGAUACCCGAGUAU